rnacentral:lncRNA from 1 species
CUGAUAUCACAUAACCAGGAAUUGAGUGCUUGGUAUCUGAUGCCAAUUUCUGCACUGCAUGAUCUUCUCAUUGAUACUAGAGUGAAUGCAACAUAGGUAGGCAAGCACAUCUUUUGCAUAAAGCCAUCUAUUAAAAAUAUGGACAGGCCUUUUGGGUUAUUUGCUGAUUUGGGUUGUCAUGCACUGUGCCACUCUGUAUUUUGCAGAUAAUGAAAGCUGAGAGCACCCUCUGUCUUUGUAAGCAUCUGUUUGUGUGCUAUGUGGUCAGGAGAAGAACAAGGAUCGAGAGCGGAGACACCAAAUUGCAGUUGAAGUAACAGCCUGGGGAAAAGCAACAACAAACCACUUCACUCCUCUGGGUGGAAACAUGCAAUUGUACCAAGAAGGACAAGGAAAAAACUUCUCAUACAUAGAGAAAGAAGUUGGAAUAAGGGAGUGAAAGCAGACAGGCUACUUGGGCAUCUGACGCAAGAGAUGUGAGAAAGUAGCUCAG